UCACUCCCUGCAACAUUAGUAGCGUGUUUGCAAAAAUAUCUAUAUCAGAGAGACUGGUAGUUUUUUUUUUUUUUUUUUUUUUUUUAACUAGUGUUUUAACUACAUAAUGGAUAUUCAUGGUGAUAACUGGUUUGGUAGGAAGGAGAGUCGAACGAGUUGCUUCUCACGAAGCUCAAAACUGCAUCUUGGAAGCCACAAGUCUUCUAAUACUGGGUUCUGAUAAAGUGGAGGAAACUGCAGACGAGUCGGAUGAAAUGGAGACGGACAAAGAAGUGGACAGUUUCGACUCCAUCAGCGUGUGUCUCUCCCCGAUGCCCGGCACUCCAGACACCGGCAUCCCCGAGGAAACUGCCUCGUACUCGCUGUCUCCCCGGAGCACAUCCGGCAAACGCACGCGCUCCUCCGAAUCCGACAUCGAGCUGCAGAAGCUGGAGGUGUUGAAGCAGAUGUCCGCUAAAGUCCUGGAGCACCCGUCUCCGGACGCCGCCGCCGUCUUCUCCAGCCAAGUGGCGAUGGAGUACCGUCUGCUGAGAGACCCCAGCGUCCAGAUGCGCGUCCGCCGGCAGAUCAUGGCUCUCCUCUACGAGGCACAGGAUUCAGAGAAACGUUCCCGGCAGUCCAAGAGACACGAGCAGAGAGAACUCAAAACUGAGGACGACGUUACUUGGAUUAACACUAAUAUAUAAGCUGAAAAAUAGUGUUGUUCUUGUGUUUUCUACAUUGUACUGAACUAUUUUCCUAGUGGAAGCUUUGAGAUAAUCUACAUGUAAGAUAAUAAAACUGUCCAACUCUUCAUGUGUAUUUUUAUUUUUUUGUAGCUGUGAG
rnacentral:lncRNA from 1 species